rnacentral:rRNA from 1 species
UACAUGGGGUGCAAACGUUGCUCGGAAUUAUUGGGCGUAAAGCGCACGUAGGUGGUCUGUUAUGUCAGAUGUGAAAGCCCUCGGCUUAACUGAGGAAGUGCACCUGAAACUGGCAGGCUUGAGUACGAAAGAGGGUCGCGGAAUUCCCGGUGUAGAGGUGAAAUUCGUAGAUAUCGGGAGGAACACCGGUGGCGAAGGCGGCUCACUGGCUCGUAACUGACGCUCAGGCGCGACAGCGUGGGGAUCAAACAGG